rnacentral:rRNA from 1 species
UAGGGAAUCUUGGACAAUGGGGGAAACCCUGAUCCAGCCAUGCCGCGUGAGUGACGAAGGCCCUAGGGUCGUAAAGCUCUUUCGCUGGGGAAGAUAAUGACGGUACCCAGUAAAGAAGUCCCGGCUACUCCGUGCCAGCAGCCGCCGUAAUACGGAGGGGACUAGCGUUGUUCGGAAUUUCUGGGCGUAAAGCGCGCGUAGGCGGACUGUUAAGUCGCGGGUGAAAUCCCGGGGCUCAACCCCGGAACUGCCUUCGAUACUGGCAGUCUUGAGUUCGAGAGAGGUGAUUGGAAUUCCGAGUGUAGAGGUGAAAUUCGUAGAUAUUCGGAGGAACACCAGUGGCGAAGGCGGCUCCCUGGCUCGAUACUGACGCUGAGGUGCGAAAGCGUGGGGAGCAAACAGGAUUAGAUACCCCCGUAGUCC